GAUGAACGCUGGCGGCGUGCCUAAUACAUGCAAGUCGAGCGAACGGACGAGAAGCUUGCUUCUCUGAUGUUAGCGGCGGACGGGUGAGUAACACGUGGAUAACCUACCUAUAAGACUGGGAUAACUUCGGGAAACCGGAGCUAAUACCGGAUAAUAUUUUGAACCGCAUGGUUCAAAAGUGAAAGACGGUCUUGCUGUCACUUAUAGAUGGAUCCGCGCUGCAUUAGCUAGUUGGUAAGGUAACGGCUUACCAAGGCAACGAUGCAUAGCCGACCUGAGAGAGUGGUCGGCCACCCGGGAACGGAGACACGGUCCAGACUCCUACGGGAGGCAGCAGUAGGGAAUCUUCCGCAAUGGGCGAAAGCCUUACGGAGCAACGCCGCGUGAGUGAUGAAGGUCUUCGGAUCGUGAAACUCUGUUAUUGGUGAAGAACAUAUGUGUAAGUAACUGUGCACAUCUUGACGGUACCUAAUCAGAAAGCCACGGCUAACUACGUG
rnacentral:rRNA from 1 species